ACACACACACAGAACUCGAUACACUUUGGCUGUAAAAUUCCCAGUGGAAUCCAACAAAUCAGACGUCUCGGGUACAAGUGUGUGUGUGUGUGUGUGUGUGUGUGUGUGUGUGUGUGUGUGUGUGUGUGUGUGUGUGUGUGUGUGUGUGUGUCAGGGAGAAGACAAGGCCGCUCAGCUUGUGCGGAAUGACUCAGCAGCUCUCAGCCCCCACGGGAACGCAGGCAGCCUGUUAGCGCUCAGCUAAUAAGACGACACCUGAACGCCGCAGCGAGCGAGGGAGGCAGGGACGCGCGCGUACAUCAGAGAGUGGGAAGUGUCUUAAAGAUGAGUGCGCCUGUCUCCAAACACAAGCUGCCACUGUCUCUCGUGGGCGUGGGGGCUGCAGACGCCGCCACCGCCGCGUACAGUGUGAGCUACACUGAGUUUUACGUACCGCACGCGAAGGCGUCGCGCACUCACUCACGUGCUCAUAGCAGCACGUUUAAAUGUGGAGAACGGCCCUGCAGGACUGACUGGAAGUGUCUGGUUCUGCAGCCUGUGGAGGACUGACGGGCAUGAGGCUGCUUCUAUUUCUAUCUGUGCUGUUAUUUACGUUCUGGUCAGGAACACAAACACAACGGACUGUGUGCAGCAGCUGAGUCCUCGUCAUCCCGCGCUCGUCCGUCAGAACGUCAUCCGCUCCUUCCUCCGGCCGCCAGGACUGCAGACGGGUCAGCGCUGGUGCCCCCAUGCAGAAGCAACGAUGAAAUCAAAGACAUCUGGAGAAGCAGAUGCAACAUGUUGUGACUACAGGAAGACUUAGCCUGCUUCAAAGAAUAAGCAUAGAAUAAAAAAGAGGGGACAAAGAAAAUGUUCUUGACUGCAGAUGUAAAAGAAAAACAUCCUCGACACAUUUGCCAAGUUAUCGCGAUCCUUCUGCUCUUUCUCAUUAAGGUUCCCUCAUCGUGAAAGAAUAUUUGUAUUUGUGUGUGUGUGUGUGUGUGUGUGUGUGUGUGUGAGAGCGACUGAACCUGUCAGUCUCUUCUGUAGCAGUUCAAUAAAUAACCAUUCCCCAAAAAAUGCCCGCUUUACUCACAGGUCAAUUUCCCCUGCAGCCUGACAGAGCGGACUCCCCGGGGAGAAAGGAAUGAGUCAAGGCGCGCGGGCUACUUUCCAAUAUCCAGACAGAACCUGCGCCUUAUGACUCACCCAAACAUCCCCGCACCUCAGCGAGCCCGGCCCCCUGCUCCGCGCGUGUCCUGUCCCAUUACCGCACCAGAAUCACGAAACCGCCUCAUUACGCAUUCAUCACAUUUGACAUUUAAAGCGUGGAGCCGGUGACGGCUUCACGGGCGAGUUCUUUGAUUUGCCUUUCUUUCUUUCUUUGUGGUUCAGAAUUAACUGCGAGAGGCGCGCGUUCUCGCUUUUCGUGUCGUAGAAAUCAGAAAUUGAGCCGCGUCCCCGGGAUUUGUCAACGGCACCGAAAUGUGACGUCGCACAUUAUUCUGACUAUGUUCUGUGUUCUGCGGACCGCAUGGGUACAAAGCGGCGGCUCGCACACGCAGCUGCUGCCCAUGAAAAACGGAGAAACUGUACGAAGGUCAGACACAUCCUGUGGCGUCGCGUGCGCGUGCUCUCUGUCUAAUGAGUGAUGACAGGUGUAGGUGGGCAGUAAAACACAGCUGGGAUCACAGGGGGGUCGAGGCCAGGUCGCUCCUACAACACACACACACACACACACACACACACACACACACACACACACACACACACACACACACACACACAGGUUGUAUCAAAUCCAUUCGGUUGAAUCACCUGCAAACGCAUGUGAAGCGGCUGGGAGGCGUGUCCUCGUGGCCUUCGCUGCUUUUCAGGGUUCACGCGAGAGACCGGCGUUCACACAUUAGCGCGCGACCUCCGCCGGAUGACGGCGUGAGAUCGAGUCUCGGGCCGCAGGGGAAAGCGCGUGGCGCUCAGAUCUCCGGCAUGGACCCACUCGCUUCUUUAUUUUUUAUUUUUCUUUUCACACAAGUGCAUGAGCAGACACACACAGAUAAUGUGUCUUGAUAACGUUAUGGAGGGACGAGCGAGCGGCUCCGCGGAACCCUGACUGCCGUCGGCUGCGCGUGAAAGGAAAUAGAUUAGUCACUGUCUCCGCUCUCUCCCUUUUAAUAACAACAUAUUAACGCUCCUUCGUGCCGUCUGAGUGGAAGGAAUCAACUCAGAAUUCACGGUUAGGCUCCGAGGUAACUGCUUUAUGAUGGAGGAUGCAGCACAAAGCGGAGGCAGCGUGAAUAUCCUGCUCAUAAUCAGUUUUGUCUGCUUUAGUUUAUUAAACAGUUUUGGGAAAACAUAUAAAAACCCACAUUACACUGGAAAUGAUCAAGGCUGCCAUUAUAGACGCACUUAUUUCAGCUUGUCUAUUGUGCGUCACCCACAAAGCGUUU